ACCCAUUCCUCUCCGCCUUUAUAUUACUACAAUAAAAGCUCACACAAGUGUUACAUGAGAGAGAGAGAGAGAGAGAGGCCAAAUAUAGCUAACGAAAGAGACGAAGAAAGGAGGGGAAGCGAAGAAGAGAUUCGCAAGUGCCAAGUAUUAGUAGUGUCAUAUAGUAGUGGUGCUGACGAUGGGAUUUAUAUACCAGAAGUUGCCGGAGAAUCGGCGAGCAAAAGGUGGUUUUCCGGCGAGGGAGUGGGUGGUGGUGAGACGGGCUGCCGUGAAGGUAGUCGGGCUCUACUUGGGCCGGAGGAGGUGGGCAGCGAGGCACUCGAGGACGCUCGCAUGGGCUGCGAUUUGGGCGAGGUUGAGAAGGGCCGUGGGCCUGUCACGGGCCCGGCAUUUGCCGGCGGCGAGCUAUGACUCGGUGAGCUAUGCUCAGAAUUUUGACGAUGGGGUGUGGAAGGAGGAGGAGGAGGAGUGGGUCCUUUGCAUUUAGGUUUGGAAAAUCUCGUCGCUUGGUGGGUUGAGCUGAGUUGUCCCAUUUCCUUUUCCAGCCUUUUGUCUCUCUUUAUUUCACAUCGGUCAUCAGGGAAUCCUGAUAAUUUUUGUUAUUCUUUUUAAGCUUUCUUUUUUAUGUUCUUUUCAAAUCACUUUUUAGAUGAUAAAAUGCUGUUUUUUUUUUGAAGGGAAGGUGGGACUGUGUUGCUCUAUAUUGUGAAUCCUAAUUUUGUUGUGGAAUCUCUCCGGAAGCUAUUUGAUCUUAAUCUGACGGUAUGAAUUGACUAUGAUUACAUAGCAAAUUUUUAAGCUGAUUAAUUUGGGCAUUAAGUGAAAGCUUUAAACUUGAAGUCAAGUUCAUAUGGGAUGUUUCAAGUCUCAUCCUUGUUUUUCGGGUAAGACAAAUUGUUUCAAAGAAAUUGUAUAACUCGGAUUUCAUUGAAACCCUUUGAAAAGAUAUAUCAUUUAAUGAAUAAGAAUGCUGCAAUAUAUAGUGAAACAAAUAAUAGAUAAUUUAAAAAGUCCUUUUCCAUGGUUUCAACUCUUAUGGCAGUAACAGGGGAAACCAGGCAACAGGGGAAACAAAGCAUUUCAGUAGCAUGAAAC
rnacentral:lncRNA from 1 species